GCCGGAGGCAGUUCGCUCCCCUGCUCUGAGUGCAGCUACAAACAAGGCCCUGUUUCUGAUUUCCUCACCAGCUGCUCAUCGGACCAACGCACUUCCAAAAGACACAGGCGACAUGCUGACGCACAAAACAGAAAAGGUAAGAAUGCAGAAGGACAAGAACACAUUUUCCAAGGCCGAGGGAUCCUUCAGUACUGGAUUAUUCCCUCUUUUUCAGCCAACUCAACCAUACGCCACUCUUCUCUGGCCAGCAUCUCCAUAACGGUCCCCUACAGCCCACCUCUCCUCAACACCAACGCGAUGAAGAAGACCGGGAAUACCAACAACCCUGUCAGUGCUGUCCAAGCAAUUUCACAAUCCAUUAGCUCACCCUCCAUGCUAUGAGGUUGGCUGAAUCCUUUUGUUUGAAAAGAAGGAACAUUGUGGGAAGUUUGCCUGUCAUGGUGGACAGGUAGCAAUAGUUAUACUAUAUUAGUGUUGACUUGCUACUGUAUACACACUGUCAAUCAUUGUCAGAGGUGGGAAUGCCAUAGAAUAGGGUGCUGCUCUCCCACGCAGCUGAGGUGCCGUAAAAUGUGAAAAUGCAUAAAUAUCAACAAACGCACGCAAGCACACACCCCGCCCAAUUACUGCAAGUCUUUCCCUCACAAUAAGUAUGGGCCGUUCACCCAAGUAUUUGAGAUGGGCAAAGACUUAAUGUCAGACCCCAAGCUCAUGAUCUGUAUUAUAACAUAAUAAUAAUAAUAAUAAUAAUAAUAAUUAUAAUAAUAAGAAGAAGAAUAAAAAAUAAACUUUCUGCAGGGUUAGAGCUACCAGCUAUCCUUCAGUCUGCAGGGUUAGCGUUGCCUGCUAUCCUUCAGUCUGCAGGGUUAGCGCUGCCUGCUAUCCUUCAGGCUGCAGGGUUAGCGCUGCCUGCUAU